CAGGAAUGCCUUCUUUUGGCAAAUGUGAGUGCAACAUCAUCAAGGGUAUUCUGUACUGUGCCACAGAUUCACUUCUGUGAUGCACCAUUAGGAAGUGGAUGGGUAUAGAACACUUAUGACGUCGUCUCUUGAGAGCGAUUGGGACAUUUGUCUAAUUAGUGGCUGUUACUGACGGAAGUCUAGGUGGCCUGGAGGGAGUGAUAAGAAAGCCACUAGGAGUGAAGCGUUGCUCCUCAUGUGCCAAGCGGAGCAACGAUGGAAUGGCC